rnacentral:tRNA from 1 species
GGGGGUAUAGCUCAGUUGGUCAGAGCACCUGCUUUGCAAGCAGGGGGUCGUCGGUUCGAAUCCGUCUACCUCCA